rnacentral:rRNA from 1 species
UGAGGAAUAUUGGUCAAUGGGCGAGAGCCUGAACCAGCCAAGUAGCGUGCAGGAUGACGGCCCUAUGGGUUGUAAACUGCUUUGAUAUGGGAAUAAAGUGAGGGACGUGUCCCUUAUUGCAUGUACCAUACGAAUAAGGACCGGCUAAAUCCGUGCCAGCAGCCGCGGUAAUACGGAAGGUCCAGGCGUUAUCCGGAUUUAUUGGGUUUAAAGGGAGCGUAGGCUGUUUGUUAAGCGUGUUGUGAAAUGUAGGAGCUCAACUUUUAGAUUGCAGCGCGAACUGGCAGACUUGAGUGCGCACAACGUAGGCGGAAUUCAUGGUGUAGCGGUGAAAUGCUUAGAUAUCAUGACGAACUCCGAUUGCGAAGGCAGCUUACGGGAGCGCAACUGACACUAAAGCUCGAAGGUGCGGGUAUCGAACAGG